rnacentral:lncRNA from 1 species
CCCUACCCAGCUGAACUCCUCAGUCUAAGAUGAAGACAGUGUUGUAAGAAAAUGGGACUGUGUAACCCCUUUGUAAAAACAUCUGCUAUUUGUUCUUCAGUAGGUAUGUACUGCACAAUAAGAUCCUUUCUUUGUACCUUCUCUCUCACAAAGUGGAAGUCUAUAUCCAAAUGCUUAAUUCGAGAAUGGUAUACGGGGUUUGAGCUUAAAGCCAAUGCUGAUAAGUUGUCACAGUACAUAGUAGGAGCAUUUGGCAAAAACAUCUUUAGAUCCAAGAGAACCUGUCGAAUCCAUGACAAGUCAGCAGCUGUGUUUGCUAGGGCCCUGUAUUCUGCCUCUGUUGAACUCCUAGACACAGAACCUUGCUUCUUGGACUGCCAGGAGAUAGGAUUACAACCCAAGAAUACUACACAACCGGUUGUAGACCUUCUAGUAUUGAUAUCCCCUGCCCAGUCUGCAUCACUGUAUGCACUAAGCUGCCAAGGACCCUUUGUAAAACUGAUUCCAUACUCUAAUGUACCCUGAACAUAUCGAAGAAUACGCUUCACCAAAAAAUAGUGAACCUCAGUUGGAUUAUUCAUAUAUUGACACACAUGAUUCACAGCAUAAGCCAGAUCAGGUCGUGUAAAUGUUAGGUACUGUAGAGCACCUACGAGACUGCGAAACAUAGUAGGAUCAGCCAAGGGCUCACCGUCAGUCUGUAACACUUGAGUGUGUGGCUUACAAGGUGUUGCACAGGCUCUACAUGAACUCAUGCCUGCUUUAUGUAGUAGAUCCUUGGCAUACUUAGUUUGACUCACGAAUAUGUCACCAGAGGAAUUAUAGGAAAUCUGCAGACCUAAAA